UGAGGAAUAUUGGUCAAUGGGCGAGAGCCUGAACCAGCCAAGUAGCGUGCAGGAUGACGGCCCUAUGGGUUGUAAACUGCUUUUAUAUGGGAAUAAAGUGAGGGACGUGUCCCUUAUUGCAUGUACCAUACGAAUAAGGACCGGCUAAUUCCGUGCUAGCAGCAGCGGUAAUACGGAAGGCCCAGGCGGUAUCCGGAUUUAUUGGGUUUAAAGGGAGCGUAGGCUGUUUGUUAAGCGUGUUGUGAAAUGUAAGAGCUCAACUUUUAGAUUGCAGCGCGAACUGGCAGACUUGAGUGCGCACAACGUAGGCGGAAUUCAUGGUGUAGCGGUGAAAUGCUUAGAUAUCAUGACGAACUCCGAUUGCGAAGGCAGCUUACGGGGGCGCAACUGACGCUAAAGCUCGAAGGUGCGGGUAUCGAACAGG
rnacentral:rRNA from 1 species